CACGUAGGGGGCAAGCGUUGUCCGGAUUUAUUGGGCGUAAAGAGCUCGUAGGUGGUUCGAUAAGUCAAGUGUGAAAACUCCAGGCUCAACCUGGAGACGCCACCCGAUACUGUCGUGACUAGAGUCCAGUAGGGGAGCGUGGAAUUCCUGGUGUAGCGGUGAAAUGCGCAGAUAUCAGGAGGAACACCAGUGGCGAAGGCGGCGCUCUGGGCUGGCACUGACACUGAGGAGCGAAAGCGUGGGGAGCGAACAGG
rnacentral:rRNA from 1 species